GGGGCUGUUUAAUGGUUUUGACAGAAAUGUUAUUGAUAUGAAUUGCAAGUCGUAAGGCAUGCGUCAAAUCCAAAACAAAAAUAUCUGGAAACAGAAAUCAAUUAGCUUUCGCUUAAUUUAAAGAAGGCAGUCUACUAUUUGUUUUUCUUGUGACGAAUAACUAGGCUUUAUAAAGCAAGAUAUAUUAUUUAAUUGAUUGUGUUAAAUAAUGAAUUUUAAGCAAUCUAGCUAAAAAUUUAUUUGUUUAUUUUAUGUUUUUAGUGAAGUUAAAAAUAAACUAAACUUGUAGAAGUUUAUAUACAAGCAUUUUUGGACAGGAGUUCAAAUCUCCUCAGCUCCACCA
rnacentral:tmRNA from 1 species